GGGAGCCCGGGUCUUGAGCCACAGCAGAGGGCAUCAGCUUCAGCAAGCCCAGACCUGCCCGGAGGCUCCGCUUCUGCAAACUCAGCCGGACCUGGGAGGGCCGCCCAGAGAGAAGGGGAAGAUCAGGUUCUUCGGCUGCUCUGUAGGGAGCCCUCCCCGCGUCCAGGCAGUCCUGAGUCAGCAGGACCCCGUCCGUUCGUCUUUCACCCCCAUUCCUUGCUACUCCAGGGGCCGCCCCAGCAGCAUUUUCCCAGGCAGCUGGUGGUCAGCCUCCUCCCUGCAGCCUCCUCCUGCGCCCUCUCACGAGGCGCUGGGGCCUGGUGCGGAAGGAUUUACAGGGAAGGAAUGUCGGGCUCCUCCGGCUGGGAGCGCACCUGCGCAGGGAGGGUCCUGUUCCACCACACCUGGCCCCCCGGGGCACAGCGG
rnacentral:antisense_RNA from 1 species